UGCUGUACGUUAUAGUGAUUGAUUUUUUCGCGGGCGUCAUUAUUAGCUAAUUAAUGCUGGUUAUUAAUAUUUGAUUGUCUACACUGGCGUCGCGCCAUUUUACCGCGCGUAAAGAGCCUAUAGGAGAGAGUAGCACUAACGAGCCACUCUCUGAUUGACUGGAGUAAACGUCACGUGACCAAUGAGCGCCUCUCUAGCUCUCUCCUAGAAGCUCGCUCUAACCGCGCGGGAAACGUUGUUGUUCUCGCGCUCGCGUCUCGUUAAGUCGUGCAGUCCCAUCGUCCUGUGUCCUGUGUGUGUGCAGCAAUCGACUAAAGAGUUUCGGUCGCGCGCCCGUGGAUCCGCGUUUCCAUCGCGUUUUAUCUCGACCGGCGUCGGUUGUCAUACGUAUAUGCGACGCAUCCGUGCCGGGUGGUGGCGAUCGCGAGCGGGUUAUCCGGGCCAGAUCUGGCCGUGCGUGUUUUGCCGUGUUUCGGCCGGGGCGUUAAAGCUUGAUCUACAAUAUCAGGCUUAAUGGUCGUGGGUCCGCGGAUCCGCGUUUCCACUGCGUGUAGAGGUUUUCGUGGUUUUCGUCGGGAGUGUUGGCGAGCGGAUUCGGGCCGGUUCUGGCCGGAACUAGAGCAAUUAUAUUUUUGGAUGACUGUAUAAUUGCGAGCUGGAUUUUUUUUGUUCAUCUGGACUCAUCCGUUACAUCGACAAAAGAUCAAUCAAAAUGGAUAAAACAGAUAAACCGUGUUACUAUUUGAAAUCUCUUCCUUUGGGAAAUGAUGAAGCUCGAGCAGUAUCUAAACUUAUGUCAAACCUCAUGAGCACGGUCUUACAUACAGGUCUGGAAACUCAGACCGAUUUCGGUGGUGGGGGAUGGUCGUUUUAGCAAGGAAGAAUUUAUUUCACGGCGUUGUUACUAUGCAUCGCUGUCAUCGCGAAGUGUAGAUGGUAACCCAUGGUAACGUGACAACAAUUUUUUAAUUGCGCUUAAUUCAAGUGCAUUUUUGAAAAUGACAUAUAAUGCACAUCCUCAGUCGCUGAAUUUGUAAACAUGAAAAGUCGCGGUGGUUUGAAGCAUGCAAACCACCAUUUUUUUCAUCUUAUUCGAUAUGUUGAAUCGUGUUUUGCAAAAAAUGUCUCGCACUUGCAUGUAUUUAAAUGGUUUUCUUAAAACGAAUAAAAAGAUUUCUAACGUUUUAUUCUUAAUGCAAAGUCAUUUAUUAUUUCUUUGAGCUAAGUUGAAAUACUUUCUUCGGCUCCUGAGGACAUGGACAGCGACAUGGAUUGAAAAUAACAUCUUUCUCAUGUAAAUCUUUUUUUAUAUGACAUUUUCUUUCUUUAAAUAACUGUAACUAGUCACAGUAAAAAGGUCGAUAUCGACCUUGAUUAUGUGUACAACUACAUUGAUAUUUUUUGGAAUAAGAAUGUAUAUAAAUAUUGAAACCUGUAAAUUAACUAUGGAUUCUCGAAACGGGUAAUUAUUAUUUACUUCAUAUUCCUUUACUCAUAGCCUUCAACUUUCUAAUUAAUCUUAUAAAACCAAGGCAUACGUAAGGUAAGAAUCAGAAUUAAUACAAGUCAACCGCUCUCAUACCGAGAAUCACGCGUCAUCUUUAAAUAUUGUAAAUUAAGAAUAAAUUAUAUAUCAAUUUAUUAAUUUGCGCAUUCGUAUAAUUGGCCUUCCGUUUUUUUAUGAUCCGGUGUUCGUUAGAAUUAAGUUUCUCGUUAUGAGAAACAAUUUAUAUUGAUAUUGUUUAUUGAUAUCGUUUGUAUUCGAAGAGAGAUAUUUCUUUUCCAUAAAAUAACAUUAUAUCUUACAAAGUAAAUUAUUUCUUAUUGUUUUAUUAUAAUUAGAUUCCAAAUAAAGGAUGAAAAAGAGCUUGGUCGAAAUAACUAACUAUUGUAAAACAAAAAUCGUGUUGUCUAUAUUGUUCAUUUAGCAAUCUAAAACACACUAGGAAGGCACAGUAUUAUAUAUGCUUCACGCAGAAUUUUUAUUCCCUCAGUAUCGCUCGGUCAGUAUUUGUCCUUAUAAAGAUACGAAUAAAAAGAUUUCUAACGUUUUAUUCUUAAUACAAAGUUAUUUAUUAUUCCUUUCCUCAUUUGAAACUUCAAUUAUUGCCUAUUUGACACUCACGAUUUUGAAUUUACUAAUUACUAUUUCCGUCCUUGUCCUACCACAUAAUACACUGACCGAUGGCAGCGACUCUUACGGUCACAAAGCGAGUUAUUUUCUUCGUCGCUAAGGCGACCAUCCCCCACCACUAGAGUUUCCAGACCUGUAUGUAAGACCGUGCUCAUGAGUAACUCUCUUGCCCAAGAGUAUAACUUCGAUGGUCAUGGAACUAAAUUGACUUUCAAAUCCACAAAAUUAUGGGAAUUGGUACAAUAAGGUACAUUGUUGUUAAAAUUUGAAGAAAGUGAUCUGAGUGAAGCAUUGAAGUCUCUCAGACCAUGGCUGCGAAAUGCCAAAGGAAGAAUGAAACCUGCACAUUAGUAUUACAGGUUUAUUGUGAUGUAGAAAUAUCGACAUGCUCUUUUUACGUCGGAACGAAGUGACACCACCAGAGGUGCAAGAUAGUUCAAGCUUUAGAUACACUGCAAGAUAGACCAAAUAAUUUUGUAAGAGAACCCUGCGGGGUGUUUAUCGCGAAAAGCCACUGUUGCGAUGGCCGAGUCUCGUAGAUCAUCCUAGUAGGACAAUCAUAGAGUUACGCGUUUGUGUUUAGACGCGCUAGUAAAUUUUAUUUUAUUUUAUUUUUUUAUUUUUACGAUUCCGAUAAAAAUGUGGGAGCGAAGGUUCAUAGAGAGAGAGUGGAUUUGUGAAUCUGGCGUUCAAUUGCGGAUGUCUUGUUAUAAACAUGUAAGUGCGAGUUCGUCAAUUUCUGCCCAGACUUAACUAUAGCGAACGAGAGAAUUGCUAAAUAAUAAAAUGAUUAUAAUGACAUUAGUAUAUAUAAUACAUAUACCAUAUAUAUAUACUGAUACGAUACUGAAGCAUCAUCUUUUGUAUCAUUUGUUCGUUUGUUUUUAUCUUACUGCGUUUGUCUUUCAUUAUUAAUACAAUACCAAGAUGACUCGGUUUCGACUCGGUAUCUUGUGUGUAAAUAUAUAUCCGCUCAUAAAAAAACCGUGUAAGAAUAACUAAUAAAAAAAUAUGUAUACAAAUGCAACGAGGGCAAGUCUUAUCGACGAAUCUUCCUUGCACUCCCCUUUUUCAGGAUUUCUACAUUCUACAGUGUUAAGUACCAAAUAUCAGUGUGAUUUAAAUAGUUUAUUUAACAUACUCGUAUUAAAUACACCAAUUUGUAUGGGAUACAACGCAAUAAGCAGACCGGAUGAGCAAAAAGGUCUGUCGAUAUUCAGAACCGUUGUUUAAAACAAUCAAUUAUUUCGCUGCUAAUUUCAAUUAGUGAGAAUAGAUGCGAGUUCUGAAUACAGACUACGAAGAACGCUAGGAGUGAAUAAAGAAUGAAAAAAAAGGAUGAGUAAGUAACGAACC